AAAUUUAUGUUCAGAUCAAUGGGAGCUGAUUAAUUACCUAAGAUGUAUUCAGAUAACAGAGUUGAGAGGAAAAGCAAAAGCAAUGCUUUCAAAAAUGCUCAAUGAAGUAAACCAAGUACAUUGCGAAUAUGUUUAAAGGAUAAGUGCAAAGACGACCCAGGCAAGCGAGGAAUCAAAGAAAGGAGACAUCCAAAAGCCAGUCUUACAAUCAACAACAUAGACAUGAAGAGAAAAGAAAUCUCUAAAGCUAUUAAAAAUCUGGAAACCUAUUAAAAAUGGAUUAAAAAAGGUACAAGGAAAUCAAAUCAAGAGACAUGGAGUGGCACUUGCGAAAGGAACCUUUAACAGAGUGGAAAAAUUACUCUGUGAUCCAAGUGAAUUUAAAUAGUGGCUCCAGUCACGAUGGAGAACAGCACUUUCUGAUUUCACAGGCCAACAGCUAACAGAUGGAAUGUGGCUGUGCCUUCAGCCCAUGGGAGCACUCCAGGGGGUUCAUCCUGCCUGUCCAGCUAUGGUGUCCCCACCUCAGCUGAUCAGUGAUUCCAGUGAUAUUUAAAAAUCCAGGCUCUGCUCUGCCUCCUGCUCCAGCAGCAGCCAGCCCUGCCCAUCUCAGAGGUUUGUUUGGAGUGGGAAGAGCACCAGACAGCCAGAGCAAGGCAAGGACAAGUGAGAGCUGCACCUGUCUCCCAACUCCUCCCUGCACAAUUAACCCUCUCAACACCAGGAGCUGCCAGGGGCCCUGCAGAGAUGUUGUGCCCAGCCUGCACUGCUGGACACAGCUCGGCACCAUGAGGAUUUAAGCUCUUUGUCAAUGGAGCCGACUCUGAGCCAUGCACAUGGCAGAAAGCCGAGUCAAUAUUCACACAGAGAAAGCUCAUGGGUUGAUGUCCAGUCUCAAAGCACAGCCCUUCUGCAAAGAACUAACAUUUUAUCCAAGAUGUGAUGGGGAAUCUCUUCUGCUGCAGCAUCAGCUGCCUUCUAGAAACGCCACAGCCAAGCACCAAUACCUGGAGUGAAAGCAGAUCCUUGUGGAGGUUAGAAUGGACUUUACCAGCUCUGCCCCUUCCAGCUGAAGAUUCCUCAGGUGCCUGCAAGUGCAGUAUCUCUGGAUGGGCUCUAAAUAGCCCAACCAAAGAAAGAAAAAGCAGUUUUAAGUAAGUUUUAAGGGGACCAGUGUCAGAGAAGAGAGCCUUGUUCCACACAAAGAUAUUCUGCAGCAA
rnacentral:lncRNA from 1 species